rnacentral:rRNA from 1 species
CACGAGGGCGCAAGCGUUGUCCGGAAUUAUUGGGCGUAAAGAGCUCGUAGGCGGUCUGUUGCGUCCGCUGUGAAAACUCGGGGCUUAACCCCGAGCCUGCAGUGGAUACGGGCAGACUAGAGGUAGGUAGGGGAGAAUGGAAUUCCCGGUGUAGCGGUGAAAUGCGUAGAUAUCAAGUGGAACACCAGUGGCGAAGGCGAGUCUCUGGACAUUUCCUGACGCUGAGGCACGAAAGCCAGGGGAGCAAACGGG